GUGCAAAUUCAUUAGAACCGAACUGCCCC
rnacentral:sRNA from 1 species